UACAGAGGCCACAAGCGUUAGGCGGAAUCACUGGGCUUAAAGCGUGUGUAGGCGGGAUGGUAAGUACCUUGUGAAAUCCCACGGCUCAACCGUGGAAAUGCUUGGUAUACUGCCGUUCUUGAGUCAUCUAGGGGCAGCCGGAACAGAUGGUGGAGCGGUGAAAUGCGUAGAUAUCAUCUGGAACGCCAAUGGUGCAGACAGGCUGCUGGGGAUGAACUGACGCUGAGGCACGAAAGCCAGGGGAGCAAACGGG
rnacentral:rRNA from 1 species